UUCGCCCUUAGAGUUUGAUCCUGGCUCAGGACGAACGCUGGCGGCGCGCCUAACACAUGCAAGUCGAACGGAGUUUGAGAGAGCUUGCUUUUUCAAACUUAGUGGCGAACGGGUGAGUAACGCGUGAGUACCUGCCCUGGAGUGGGGGACAACAGUUGGAAACGACUGCUAAUACCGCAUAAGCCCACGGUGCCGCAUGGCACAGCGGGAAAAGGAUUUAUUCGCUUCAGGAUGGACUCGCGUCCAAUUAGCUAGUUGGUGAGGUAACGGCCCACCAAGGCGACGAUUGGUAGCCGGACUGAGAGGUUGAACGGCCACAUUGGGACUGAGACACGGCCCAGACUCCUACGGGAGGCAGCAGUGGGGGAUAUUGCACAAUGGGGGAAACCCUGAUGCAGCGACGCCGCGUGGAGGAAGAAGGUUUUCGGAUUGUAAACUCCUGUCGUUAGGGACGAUAAUGACGGUACCUAACAAGAAAGCACCGGCUAACUACGUGCCAGCAGCCGCGGUAAAACGUAGGGUGCAAGCGUUGUCCGGAAUUACUGGGCGUAAAGGGCGUGUAGGCGGGAAUUUAAGUAAGGUGUGAAAACUCCGGGCUUAACCUGGAGACUGCACUUUAAACUGGAUUUCUUGAGGGCAGGAGAGGAAAGUGGAAUUCCUAGUGUAGCGGUGAAAUGCGUAGAUAUUAGGAGGAACACCAGUGGCGAAGGCGACUUUCUGGACUGUACCUGACGCUGAGGCGCGAAAGCAUGGGUAGCAAACAGGAUUAGAUACCCUGGUAGUCCAUGCCGUAAACGAUGAUUAAUAGGUGUUGGGGGGGAUUGACCCCCUCAGUGCCGCCAGUUAACACAAUAAAGUAGUCCACCUGGGGAGUACGACCGCAAGGUUGAAACUCAAAGGAAUUGACGGGGGCCCGCACAAGCAGUGGAGUAUGUGGUUUAAUUAGAAGCAACGCGAAGAACCUUACCAGGUCUUGACAUCCGAAGCAUAGCACAGAGAUGUGUGAAAUCCUUCGGGACAUCGAGACAGGUGGUGCAUGGUUGUCGUCAGCUCGUGUCGUGAGAUGUUGGGUUAAGUCCCGCAACGAGCGCAACCCCUAUCCUCAGUAGCCAGCAUUUAAGGUGGGCACUCUGGGGAGACUGCCAGGGAUAACCUGGAGGAAGGCGGGGAUGACGUCAAAUCAUCAUGCCCCUUAUGAUUUGGGCUACACACGUGCUACAAUGGCGUAAACAAAGGGAAGCGAGAUUGUGAGAUGGAGCAAAUCCCAAAAAUAACGUCCCAGUUCGGACUGUAGUCUGCAACCCGACUACACGAAGCUGGAAUCGCUAGUAAUCGCGGAUCAGAAUGCCGCGGUGAAUACGUUCCCGGGUCUUGUACUCACCGC
rnacentral:rRNA from 1 species